rnacentral:lncRNA from 1 species
CAACUCUGGGUGGACAAUUCCCGAGAGACUCAGACCACUGCCAAUCCCUGUCCGCCUGAGAGGAGAUAGAAGAGGGACUGAUCACUUGCUGCAUACCGUCUUGUCUCCCCCGGCCCUGGCCCCUGCGCUUACCGCCUCAGCUGUUUGCUUGCUUCUCCUAUGAGGAGGCCAACAUUUCCAAGAGGAUUCUUUAGGGCAUUACCAAGUCCCCCUUGUAGAGCCACAAACAGUCGAAGAAUGUCAUUUGUCCCUUCAAAGAUCCGGAAGAUUCGAAUAUCUCGGAGCACACGCUCUACCCCUGGUUCCUGGCACACGGGAAGACACACAGACCUCAGAGAUGUGCCUGUCUGCGCUGAGCAGAUGCCCUUGCUGAGGAAUACUCUACCUUCAUGAAGCCCAUGCCCCCCAUUAUCUGGAUGCACUCAUCUGUCACUUUCCAGGCCGCCUCCUGAGGACAGAAGCAGAGAAGUUUAUUUUUUGGAGCUGAGGUCCUAAACUGGACUCUGCCCUCCAUAAUGCCUGGGUCCUCACCGAGCCAAAGAUUUUGCUGAUGGCAGCUUCUAUCUGGAAGUCUUUGAAUCCCUGGUCCAUGUUGGCACUCAGCAUGUAAGCCAUGGACUGAGGGGGCAUGGUUGGAACAUGGGAAAGAAAACAGGAAAAGCUGCAUCAGAUAGAAUGGUUACUACUCAAGCCUUCA